AGAACGAACGCUGGCGGCAGGCUUAACACAUGCAAGUCGAACGCCCCGCAAGGGGAGUGGCAGACGGGUGAGUAACGCGUGGGAAUCUACCCAGUUCUACGGAAUAACGCAGGGAAACUUGUGCUAAUACCGUAUACGCCCUACGGGGGAAAGAUUUAUCGGGAUUGGAUGAGCCCGCGUAAGAUUAGCUAGUUGGUGGGGUAAUGGCCUACCAAGGCGACGAUCUUUAGCUGGUCUGAGAGGAUGAUCAGCCACACUGGGACUGAGACACGGCCCAGACUCCUACGGGAGGCAGCAGUGGGGAAUAUUGGACAAUGGCGCAAGCCUGAUCCAGCCAUGCCGCGUGAGUGAUGAAGGCCUUAGGGUUGUAAAGCUCUUUCAGUGGGGAAGAUAAUGACGGUACCCACAGAAGAGCCCCGCUAACUCGUGCCAGCAGCCGC
rnacentral:rRNA from 1 species